GACCUACUGAAUCUGCCUUGUCAGAAGGUCUCCAAGUGAUGUACAUCAGGGUCUGAGAAGCACUGAGUUAUUCUACUUAUAAACAACGCUGCUGUGAACAUCUUCAUGCACAUAUAUUUUGCUUGUGGAUGGUUUGGUUACAUUCAAUUCCCAGAAGUGAGAUUAUGAGUUCAAAAGACGUACAGAUUUUUAUGCUUGCCAGAACUGCAGGACAGUUCUUUAAAGAACCAGAGGGGUGGGUGUAACUGAGUGCUAUAACCUGAAGACUGGUCCAGUUAGUGCCCUCUGUCAGCUGGUAGAUUGCAAUUGACCUGUUGGAGCCCUCUGCUGUUAAAAGUCCCACUAUUUAAAGAACAAGCCCCUGUUGCCCUCUGGAGGCAGAGCCAGAGAGGAAAACAACUUUCUGUUCCAUCUCGUUGCCCCUCAGACUCCCAGAGCUUCUUGCAGUGCCCAUCAGAUUGUAAGGCUGACAACUCCUAAAUAUUCCAGAUACAGGCCAGAAACCUCUUAAAUUUCAUGUCUAGGGAAUUCAUUCCUGACUCUCUGUGAGUCAUGAAGAAAAAGAAAUGCUUCUUUUGGGGGCUUUUAGGUUCACCUUCCAAGCCACAGUAAUUCUAGCUUUGUUCUGGCAUCCAUAACCUAAAGGAUCACUGUGCUGCUUCCCUGGUGGCUCCCAAAGUCUCUUUUCUUCCCCAGGAGCUGCAGAUAUUUUCUUUUACAGAUAAUAUCAGCCCUUUAGGGGGCUGCAGUUCCAGUUCUUAUGCCAUCCUCUUCGGGUUCCUACAUUCUCUCCAGACUUUUCUCUGCUCACCACCGCUGUCAUAUCUGACCUGCUUGUCUACUCCAGCAUCUUCAUUUUUUUAGUUGGCCUUUGGGUUGCUGUUUUUCUUGGGACAAUGUCACAUUCUGGGGCUUAUGAUAUGCUUUCCUGAUAGCGAUAUUGUCCAGAUCCUCAGUUUGUUUCUUAGUGUUCUUAAGCCUGCCCGUCAAAACAGCUACACAUCAGGCUGCUUAUCCGUGUAGAUGUCUGGGACUGGGUCUGGCGACUUCAUCCCUCUGGUUUCACCUUCACUUAAGGAUGAUCACAAAUGGACAUCUGGAUUUGUCUUAAGAUUACUGGGAUAUCAAUAUCCGUCCUGGCAGACUUAACUAGAUCACUAACAUGCCUUGACUGUUUCUUCUGAAGACAUUUCCUCAAUUAAAUUGCUCUCCCUUUUCCAGAAUGACAAAGCUUAAUGUUGUCUCACAGAAACGGAAGCGUGCUUUCCACCAAUUACUCUUCUUUGUGGUGUUCAACCUGUUUGUGUGUGUGUGAGAGAGAGAGAGUAUGAGAGAGAGAGAGGCUGACUUUUACCCAUAGUUCAUUUUGCUCUGUGAUAGGCCAAGUAGAGUAACUUGUCUUUAGGAUGGCUGCCAUCAAUUCCUUCCUGUAUGUACAAACCAUUCUCCCCAUGAGCAGUAGAAUCUAUGCUUCCAUUUCUUUGAAUUCAAGCCGAUUGGUGAAUGCUGUGACGAAUAGAAUACAGAAGUGAGGCUGAGUCAUGAGAAAGCUUAUAGCUUCUGCCUAGCUCUCUUGGAAUGCUCACUCUGGGGGAAUCCAGCCUCAAUGAUAGAAGAAAUCUGACUACCUCAAGACUACCAUGCUGUGAAGAAGCCCAAGGAAGCCCAAUGUAGCCACAUGGAGAAGCCACAUGGAUAGAGAUUAGAUAAACAGAGGUGCACAGAGCUCCGGUGUCUUGCCCACAUCCAGAUCUGGCUAGUGUUGAUGCCAGGACAAGAAUUCAGGUCUCCUGGCCCAGGCGCAGCUCCUUUCACUGUAUCACCUACCUCUCCAAUACUAAAGAAGCUCUGCGGAAAUCGGAGAAUGCUUCAGACAGAAGGCCAGAUGGAGGCUCAUGCAGGCCCUGUCCAAACCACCACUGGGCUAGGAACAGUGAAAAAUGGCCACGCUAUUCCUUCCUCACUUGGAUGAUGACAGGUGGGAUGCGAAUUACUUCUAUAAUAAAAACGUAAGUAAAAACUCUUGUCCAAAUGUCCCUAAGUCUUACUGGCUUGCGCAUAUAAAUCAAGUCACAUCAGUGUAGUUCCUUAGCCCCCUUCUUAAAGUCUGCCCACACCACUUGGGGGAGCCCUGCAUGGGUUAAUAUUUUGAUAUCAUUCCAUCUGAACAUAUAUGUGGUGUAUAUUGUUUUGUCAUCUCUUUUUGCACUUAGUGUACUGUAAACUUUCUCCUAUGGGUUAGAUAUUUUUCUAUAACAUGAUUUUUUCAUGGUUAUGUAGUAUUUCAUCAUAUAGCUAAUUUGUUUUAACCAGCUUCUUUAUUGUUGUACAUUUACUACCAAUAAUAAGUAAUUCUGUGGUCAAUAUCUUUGCACAUAUUUCUAAUUAUGGUCCUGAAAUAAUUCCUGGCCAUGGAAUUGUUUGGCCAAGUGCUUAUCAAAAAGGGUUAAUGCUAGAAUUACUAAUAAAUAAUGAUAUCUCAAGUACUACUAAACAUUGGUCCAAUGGGAGGUAAUUCCUCCGGAGAGAGCUCUUGAAAACAAAAAUGCAACACUUACAGCCUUUCAAUAAUGCAUUUUAAGGGUGCCUGGGUGGCUCAGUGGGUUAAGUGACCAAUUCUGGAUUCCGUCUCAGGUCAUGA